rnacentral:rRNA from 1 species
GACGAACGCUGGCGGCGUGCUUAACACAUGCAAGUCGAACGGAAAGGCCCUGCUUUUGUGGGGUGCUCGAGUGGCGAACGGGUGAGUAACACGUGAGUAACCUGCCCUUGACUUUGGGAUAACUUCAGGAAACUGGAGCUAAUACCGGAUAGGAGCUCCUGCUGCAUGGUGGGGGUUGGAAAGUUUCGGCGGUUGGGGAUGGACUCGCGGCUUAUCAGCUUGUUGGUGGGGUAGUGGCUUACCAAGGCUUUGACGGGUAGCCGGCCUGAGAGGGUGACCGGCCACAUUGGGACUGAGAUACGGCGCAGACUCCUACGGGAGGCAGCAGGGGGGAAUAUGGCACAAUGGGCGGAAGCCUGAUGCAGCAGCGCCGCGUGCGGGAUGACGGCCUUCGGGUUGUAAACCGCUUUCGCCUGUGACGAAGCGAGAGUGACGGUAAUGGGUAAAGAAGCACCGGCUAACUACGUG